rnacentral:ribozyme from 1 species
GUCAAUUGGGCAUGUUAACAGGGUAUGAUCCGAGGCCUCAAAAGGUUUCAUAGGCUCUCCCGCUCAUCUCCUAUUUCGUUGCGUCCUUGCCAUGCAGGGUGGAUGAUGUUCGGUCAACCCCUUUAGCGAAUGAUGGAGCAUGGCCAAACAGGAGCGA